AAGGGAUUAAUAUUUGCUUUGUUUUACUGGGGAUAUCUAUCUAUCUGGUAUCUAUCUAUCCAGCUAUGUAUCUGUCUAUGUAUCUAUCUACCUAUCUAUCAUCUAUCUAUCAAUCAUUGAUAACAGUGCUAGAUAUCAAUUGAUUAUCUCUCACCUCUAAAUCUACUGCUGUUUACCCUGUUUUGUGAUUUUGGGGCUGGGCCCUAUGACAUUUCACAUUUGAGAGUUGGUUCAGUCUUAGGUUUUGUUGCGAGAGAGCCUAGAGAGACACUGCAGACAUAGCAACAACAACAAAAACAACAACAACAAAAAUAAAGAGGCUUUUAUUGUGUGCUUUUCUCUUUCUCCUUCAGCUGCACAUCUGGCAGUGGUGAGUGGCCCUCAGUCUCCACUGAGGGACACUGAGUGUCUCCAGCAUCUCAAUAGGAAGCUUCCUGCAGACCAACUAUAAUCUAUUGGCACCCAAGUGGGGAGUUUCUAUGGGCCAGCUUCAACCCAUGACACCCUAGUAAAAGUCACCAACAUCCGAACAUGUGACCUCCUGCAGACCAGCUCUGGCCCACAGGACCCAGUGAAGUUCUCUGCUCUUCAGCAGGUAGCAGUUGUGCCCUCUCCAGUGGGGUCAAAAAUCUCAGCCAUUGGUAUGAGCUGGUGCUUUUCAAACUUUUAGCUCCUUCUCUGGGUAUUCUUUUUUACCUUAGGAGUAUAACUGCCCCCAACAUUUGCUGUGAGUACUUUUUAGUCUACUUAGUAGUCAAUCACAUUUUACCAGUUAAGAACUUUUUCUAUAAAGUUUUCC
rnacentral:lncRNA from 1 species